UCGAUCUGCUGGGGGCAGAUGAAAUGGAUAUGGCUGUCAAAGCCGCCAGCGGUCAGGAUGCGGCCCUCGCCCGCGAUGAUCUCGGUGCCGGGGCCGAUGACGAUAUCGACGCCGGGCUGGGUGUCGGGGUUGCCUGCCUUGCCGAUGGCGGCGAUGCGCCCGUCGCGCAGGCCCACAUCCGCCUUGAACACGCCGGAAUGAUCCAGAAUGAGCGCAUUGGUGAUGACCGUGUCCAUCGCGCCGCUGGCGCGGGUGGCCUGGCUUUGUCCCAUGCCGUCGCG
rnacentral:sRNA from 1 species